UACGUAGGGUGCGAGCGUUAAUCGGAAUUACUGGGCGUAAAGUGUGCGCAGGCGGCCGCGCAAGUCGAGUGUGAAAGCCCCGGGCUUAACUUGGGAAUUGCGCUCGAAACUACGUGGCUGGAGUGUGGCAGAGGAAGGUGGAAUUCCAGGUGUAGCGGUGAAAUGCGUAGAGAUCUGGAGGAACACUGAUGGCGAAGGCAGCCUUCUGGGCCAACACUGACGCUCAUGCACGAAAGCGUGGGGAGCAAACAGG
rnacentral:rRNA from 1 species